AACGAACGCUGGCGGCAGGCCUAACACAUGCAAGUCGAGCGCCCUUUCGGGGGAGCGGCGGACGGGUGAGUAACGCGUGGGAAUAUGCCCUUCUCUACGGAAUAGCCUCGGGAAACUGAGAGUAAUACCGUAUACGCCCUGUGGGGGAAAGAUUUAUCGGGGAAGGAUUAGCCCGCGUUGGAUUAGGUAGUUGGUAGGGUAAUGGUCUACCAAGCCGACGAUCCAUAGCUGGUUUGAGAGGAUGAUCAGCCACACUGGGACUGAGACACGGCCCAGACUCCUACGGGAGGCAGCAGUGGGGAAUCUUAGACAAUGGGGGCAACCCUGAUCUAGCCAUGCCGCGUGAGUGAUGAAGGCCUUAGGGUUGUAAAGCUCUUUCAGCUGGGAAGAUAAUGACGGUACCAGCAGAAGAAGCCCCGGCUAACUCCGUG
rnacentral:rRNA from 1 species